UCUCCCGUGAGGGAGCAGUCUCGCCUGACAUAUAUAACAGGCAACGGGGGUUGCGUUCGUUACCCCACUGAAGGGAACAGUUCAAACCACGAACUGACGACGACCAUGCAUCACCUGUCCAGCACCCUCGAAGGCUCCGUCCCUUUCAGGUCGGAUGCAGCUGGAUUUCUAACCUUGGUAAGGUUCUUCGUUUGUCGACGAAUUAAGCCACAUAAUCCACCGCUUGUGCGAGUCCCCGUCUAUUCCUUUGAGUUUUAAGCUUGCGCUCGUACUACCCAGGCGGCUCGCUUACCGCGUUAGCUUAGUCCCGCAGAGGGUCGAUACUCCGCAGAACGAGCGAGCAGCGUUUAGGGCCAGGACUA
rnacentral:misc_RNA from 1 species